AGUAUGCUCCAUGCCCAAUGUGGGGCUUGAACUCAUGACCCUGACAUCAAGACUCACAUGCCUUACUGCUUGAGCCAGCCAGCCACCCCCUAUUUCAAGAGAACGAGAGAGCACAAGCAGGAGGAGCAGUAGAAGGAGAGGGAGAAACAUGCUCUGCAGCGAGCAGGGAGCCUGAUGCGGGACUUGAUCCCAGGAUGCUGGGAUCAUGACCUGGGCCAAAGGCAGACACUUAACCAUCUGAGCCACCCAGGUGCCCAAGGAAAUCUAUUUAAUCUGCCUGUCCAGAGAGAAAGAGAGAGGGAGAGUACAAGCAGGGGGAGUGGCAGGCAGAGGGAGAAGCAGGCUCCCCACUAAGCAAGGAGCCCAAUGCGAGACUUGAUCCCAGGACCCUGAGAUCAUGACCUGAGCCGAAGGCAGACGCUCAACCAUCUGAGCCACCCAGGGGCCCCGAUUUUAUUUCUGUAUUUGAGAGAGCAAGCGAGCGAGAGAAAGAGAGAGAGAGCACGAGAGAGGGAGAGGGAGAAGCAGGCACCCCGCUGAGCAGGGAGCCUGAUGCGGGGCUCGAUCCCAGGACCCCAGGAUCAUGACCUGAGCUGAAGGCAGAUGCUUAACCAACUGAGCCACUACGUGCUAUUUUGAGAGUAAGUUCAUAAUGCUUCAGAAUUGUUCCAAUUUACUUCACAUUUUACUUAGGUAUGUCUCUAACCUCUGUCAUAAUACACACUCUCUGCAUGCAAAACAGUAGCUGCCAAAUAAAAAAUGAUAGCAUGACAAUUGUAAAUAUGAAGAAAUAGAACCUGAGUUACUUCCAUGCUGUUAUUCUUAGUGAAAAUCAACCUCUGAACUUUGCAGAGUUUACUUUUUGGAACCACUUUUACAUGUGUUUUCUCCCCCCAUUUUAAAGAAUAUAGUAGUGUAACUAAAAAUAUUAGUCUAUUACUUUUGUCCUUUCUGUCUUUUCUGUAAUGUAUUUUGUGAUUUUUAUUAUUUUAUUUAUUCUUAUCAUGAGUAUAUAAAGUCUAAUAAAAGAAAAUUUCAGUGAAAAAAAAAAACAAACCAAAUGUGAAUUUACCAUGUAGGACACAAGACGGAAUAGUCUCUCUCUCUCUUCUCUCUACGGAAAAUGAUAAUACAAAAUGUCAUAUGAAGUAAUCAAAGAUACAACCCAAAAAAGGUAGGAAAAAGCCCUACAGAGAUGUGUCAGGCAGGCAAUUAACAAAAAUAAUUUUAUU